CACUGAGUUGCUUAGCACCUGGCUUUUGCUGAGGCUGCCUUUGAACUCCCCAUCCUCCUGCCUCAGCCUCUAGAGCCACUGGGAUUACAGAAGCCUGCCACCAUACCCAGCUGGACAUGCUUUUAAUAUGACAGGGCCUUUCACCAAGGAGACCUUCUAAAGACAAAACAGCCACUUUGCUCGGAGAGGGCUCAGCCUUGACUUGUUUCCAUCAGCCCCUUUAUUCUCUCUGACCCUGCUAUAAAUGGGAGAGUUUGUAAAAUUUAGGGGAGAGGAGAAGAAGAGUAAAUAGGAGAAGAGCAGUGGUCAUCACCUUGGUUGCAAGAGAGUCCACUGAUCCCUCAGUGGAGGGCACGAAGUCACUCUAAUUAAUAUUUUAAAUGGCACUUUCUGAUGGCGUCUCCUGGAGAGGGAUCGUCAAGGGGAGCAGUUUCUACAUAAAUCUGGACAACUUGGAGUUUAUAUAUUCAAGGCCAGAAACUCACCCGUCAUACUUACCAGCUUUUUCUGGGUCACGUAAGCAAUAGAAGCUUAAGGUUGCUCCUGAUUUGCAUGGAUCUUGGUGUCCUGAAUGAAUGUCAUGCUCCAGGAAGUUGAGAGAUGCAGAUUAAAAUACCUGAUGCAGUGCUGUGGCUAUCUGCUGCCUCUCCUGUCUUGUUUUGCAACAAUUUGGGAAAGAAGGUUCUGUCCCACCUGGGUGCUCCAUUAU